rnacentral:rRNA from 1 species
UACGAAGGGGGGCUAGCGUUGCUCGGAAUGACUGGGCGUAAAGGGCGCGUAGGCGGUUUGCACAGUCAGGCGUGAAAUUCCUGGGCUUAACCUGGGGGCUUGCGCUUGAUACGUGUGGACUGGAGUGCGGAAGAGGGUCGUGGAAUUCCCAGUGUAGAGGUGAAAUUCGUAGGAUAUUGGGAAGAAACACCGGUGGCGAAGGCGGCGACCUGGUCCGUGACUGACGCUGAGGCGCGAAAAGCGUGGGGGAGCAAACAGG